AACAAAUUCAAGUUUGUGGUUUUCCUUCUUUUUCUACAAUAUUUGUGGAUAGGAUAAAAAGCAAGGGAAGAAAAGAAGGAAAAAGAAGUAUCGCUCCUCACGGAAAUCAUCAGCAAGCACAACUUCAGAAUCUGAGUCAGACAGCAAGGAUAGCACAAAAAAGAAGAGGUCAAAGGAAGACUGUGAAAAAGAGAAGGAAGGUAAAAAUCACCACAGGAAAAGGAAGAAAGCUGAUCGUGGUGAAGGGCCUUUAUCAUCAGAAUCCGUAUCUGAAUCGGAUCAGACAGAGGAGGUCAGUGUG
rnacentral:lncRNA from 1 species